GACGAACGCUGGCGGCGUGCUUAACACAUGCAAGUCGAACGGAAAGGCCCUGCUUUUGUGGGGUGCUCGAGUGGCGAACGGGUGAGUAACACGUGAGUAACCUGCCCUUGACUUUGGGAUAACUUCAGGAAACUGGGGCUAAUACCGGAUAGGAGCCCCUGCUGCAUGGUGGGGGUUGGAAAGUUUCGGCGGUUGGGGAUGGACUCGCGGCUUAUCAGCUUGUUGGUGGGGUAGUGGCUUACCAAGGCUUUGACGGGUAGCCGGCCUGAGAGGGUGACCGGCCACAUUGGGACUGAGAUACGGCCCAGACUCCUACGGGAGGCAGCAGUGGGGAAUAUUGCACAAUCGGCGGCAGCCUGCUGCAGCAACGCCGCGUGCGGGAUGACGGCCUUCGGGUUGUAGACCGCUUUCGCCUGUGACGAAGCGUGAGUGACGGUAAUGGGUAAAGAAGCACCGGCUACCUACGUG
rnacentral:rRNA from 1 species